rnacentral:rRNA from 1 species
UACGAAGGGGGCUAGCGUUGCUCGGAAUCACUGGGCGUAAAGGGUGCGUAGGCGGGGCUUUAAGUCUGGGGUGAAAUCCUGGAGCUCAACUCCAGAACUGCCUUUGAUACUGAAGAUCUUGAGUUCGGGAGAGGUGAGUGGAACUGCGAGUGUAGAGGUGAAAUUCGUAGAUAUUCGCAAGAACACCAGUGGCGAAGGUGGCUCACUGGCCCGAUACUGACGCUGAGGCACGAAAGCGUGGGGAGCAAACAGG